GCCAGUGUGAUGUAGCGGUUGGAGCAUUGGACUAGGACUCUGGAGACCAGGGUUCAAAUCUCUGCUCAGCCA